GCCUGGCUGGCUCAGUUGGUAGGGGUGUGUGACUCUUGAUCUCAGGGUUGUGGGUUCAAGCCCCACGUUGGGUG
rnacentral:tRNA from 1 species